GUGUAUGAUUUGAGUAUAAGAACUAGAACUGCAACCCGAUCUUUAAAGCCUAAGUAGUGUUUCCUUGUUAGAAGAUACAAAGCCAAAGACUCAUACGGACUUCAGCUACACCAACAAAGUUUCGAGAAGCAAGAAGAAGCUUGGUUAGUGUUUUGGAGUCAAAUAUGACUUGAUGUCAUGUGUAUGAUUGGGUAUAAGAAUUAUAACCGCAACCGGAUCUUAAAACCUAAGUAGUAUUUAUUUUUUAGAAGAUACAAAGCCAAACAUUCA
rnacentral:sRNA from 1 species